AUCCAGCUGACGAGUUCCAAAUAGGACGAAAUGCGCGUCCUAGAU
rnacentral:hammerhead_ribozyme from 1 species